GAUUGGUGCCUGCAUGAAGAGGAAAGGCUGCUGCUGCUGCUGCAGAGCCAAGGACUCUGCAGAACUCAGCCUAGACCACCAGGAGAUGCAGAAUCCACAGAACAAGAUCAUCCAGCUGUCUCCCUCUGGGGUUCUUUCAGAGUGCAUUUACUCCUACAAAGCUCAGCAUCCUGGCUACAUGCAGCCUCAGUACUGACUCACACCUGGACAGGUAGACCACACCAACGUCUCUGGAGGUUCUGGAGAGAAGUCAACUUCAGAAGAAAAGCUCUUCUAAAUCUGAUGGAGCUCCAGGACUGGUGGACUGUGGAGAACCCUCAGAGACCUGCUGACCAUGUAGUUCAUGAAGCUCCUGAAGGUCCUGGUUGUGAAUGUGGACCUGUUUAAACUCAGACAUGAACUGUAGAGGGUCUAUCCAGACCUGGAGUCACACCAGGGAAGGAGUCUGGGACCAGAAGAUGGUCUGAACUGCUGUAAACGUGGCCUGUUCUCCUGGAUCUCAGUGUUUCCAUGGCUUGUCUUGUUCUAGUUCUUGUUCCUCUACCUCUGAUCUGUUCUCUGACAUAAACGAUGAUAAAGAACCUGACAGUC